CCCUUCUCAGGAUCACACCUGGAGAGUUUCCAGUACCUUACCAGUCUCGGCGACGGGAGGGAGAGUCAAGCAGAGGCAUACCCAUUCCAUUGCUAGCUUGGGUAGUGGCUAGCAAAUGGAAGGCAAUCUGUUAAAAGU